rnacentral:lncRNA from 1 species
AUUAACCAAAAAAUUUAACCUUACAAAGUAAAAUUUGCAUUUGUUUUGUCUUUCAAAUAAUCUCUUUUCUCUUUAUAAUCUGAUUUUUUUUUAAAGUACUGCAUAUUCUGCAGCUUGACUAAUCCUUUUUUUGAAUGUUGCUUUCCUUUCUGUGUUUUUUCUAGUUUGGACUAUUUUUUCCAUUCUGCAGCACUCUGCUUUUCGCCUUUCUUGUACUGUCAGUUUCUUAAAUCUACUCUCUCUCAAGAUGAAGAUGUGCAGCCAGGAAAAUAGCAGAGCCCAGAAUAAACCCAGAU